GUAACACUAUGGCUCCUCCUUGCAGGAGCUUGUUUUAUGCCAGAGACCGACUUUGCCUCCAUGCCCGUUCUGUGAAAUGCAGGACACCCACUAGUGUCUUUGGGGAAGUUUCCCCAAGGCUACAACUCUUGGAUUACCCUUUGGAGACAUAUCUCUAGCUGGAAGCCCCACUCCGCUGUUUCCUCGGUGCCUCCACUCAGUCCUACCUGUCCGCCCUCCAGCGCCACAACCGUCGUAGGCUUUCCUACGCCUUCUCCUCAUACCUCACUACUUGGAAUCCACUCCCCUCCUCAGAACCUAAACUCUCAUCACAACCGCUCCAGAGUUCCCUGGUCGCUGCCGUUCGUUCAGAAACUGUUUAUCACUUAUACAUAUUGUAAAUAAGUCAUUGCUUUAACUCUUCCUCUCCGUGAGUGUUCCUUGCAUGUGGGCUUGUAACGUAAAACCCACCAUGACGGAAA